rnacentral:rRNA from 1 species
GACGAACGUUGGCGGCGUGCUUAACACAUGCAAGUCGAACGGAAAGGCCCUGCUUUUGUGGGGUGCUCGAGUGGCGAACGGGUGAGUAACACGUGAGUAACCUGCCCUUGACUUUGGGAUAACUUCAGGAAACUGGGGCUAAUACCGGAUAGGAGCUCCUGCUGCAUGGUGGGGGUUGGAAAGUUUCGGCGGUUGGGGAUGGACCCGCGGCUUAUCAGCUUGUUGGUGGGGUAGUGGCUUACCAAGGCUUUGACGGGUAGCCGGCCUGAGAGGGUGACCGGCCACAUUGGGACUGAGAUACGGCCCAGACUCCUACGGGAGGCAGCAGUGGGGAAUAUUGCACAAUGGGCGGAAGCCUGAUGCAGCAACGCCGCGUGCGGGAUGACGGCCUUCGGGUUGUAAACCGCUUUCGCCUGUGACGAAGCGUGAGUGACGGUAAUGGGUAAAGAAGCACCGGCUAACUACGUGCCAGCAGCCGCGGUGAUACGUAGGGUGCGAGCGUUGUCCGGAUUUAUUGGGCGUAAAGGGCUCGUAGGUGGUUGAUCGCGUCGGAAGUGUAAUCUUGGGGCUUAACCCUGAGCGUGCUUUCGAUACGGGUUGACUUGAGGAAGGUAGGGGAGAAUGGAAUUCCUGGUGGAGCGGUGGAAUGCGCAGAUAUCAGGAGGAACACCAGUGGCGAAGGCGGUUCUCUGGGCCUUUCCUGACGCUGAGGAGCGAAAGCGUGGGGAGCGAACAGGCUUAGAUACCCUGGUAGUCCACGCUGUAAACGGUGGGUACUAGGUGUGGGGUCCAUUCCACGGGUUCCGUGCCGUAGCUAACGCUUUAAGUACCCCGCCUGGGGAGUACGGCCGCAAGGCUAAAACUCAAAGGAAUUGACGGGGCCCCGCACAAGCGGCGGAGCAUGCGGAUUAAUUCGAUGCAACGCGUAGAACCUUACCUGGGUUUGACAUGGAUCGGGAGUGCUCAGAGAUGGGUGUGCCUCUUUUGGGGUCGGUUCACAGGUGGUGCAUGGCUGUCGUCAGCUCGUGUCGUGAGAUGUUGGGUUAAGUCCCGCAACGAGCGCAACCCUUGUUCACUGUUGCCAGCACGUUAUGGUGGGGACUCAGUGGAGACCGCCGGGGUCAACUCGGAGGAAGGUGGGGAUGACGUCAAGUCAUCAUGCCCCUUAUGUCCAGGGCUUCACGCAUGCUACAAUGGCUGGUACAGAGAGUGGCGAGCCUGUGAGGGUGAGCGAAUCUCGGAAAGCCGGUCUCAGUUCGGAUUGGGGUCUGCAACUCGACCUCAUGAAGUCGGAGUCGCUAGUAAUCGCAGAUCAGCAACGCUGCGGUGAAUACGUUCCCGGG